rnacentral:rRNA from 1 species
GACGAACGCUGGCGGCGUGGAUUAGGCAUGCAAGUCGAACGGUAUCAUCCUUUCGGGGGUGAGAGAGUGGCGAACUGGUGAGUAACACGUAGGUUAUCUACCCUCAAGACGGGGGACAACCCAGGAAAAACUUGGGCUAAUACCGGAUGUGAGCAACUUUUAGUUGUUUGAAAGGUGGCGUAAGCUGUCGCUUGGGGGAUGAGCCUGCGUCCUAUUAGUUAGUUGGUGAGGUAACGGCUCACCUAGGCAAUGAUAGGUAGGCGGCCUUAACGGGUGGUCGCCCACACUGGGAUUGAGAUACGGCCCAGACUCCUACGGGAGGCAGCAGUCGAGAAUAGUCUACAAUGGUCGGAAGACUGAUAGUGCGACGCCGCGUGAACGAUGAAUCCCUUCGGGGUGUAAAGUUCUUUUAUAUGUGAGCAGUGCUUCUUAUAUUAACAGUAUGGGGAGAGAGAUAUUAACAUAUGAAUAAGCAACGGCUAACUCCGUG